rnacentral:rRNA from 1 species
GGUUAAGCGACUAAGCGUACACGGUGGAUGCCCUGGCAGUCAGAGGCGAUGAAGGACGUGCUAAUCUGCGAAAAGCGUCGGUAAGGUGAUAUGAACCGUUAUAGCCGGCGAUGUCCGAAUGGGGAAACCCAGUGCAAUUCGUUGCACUAUCGUUAACUGAAUACAUAGGUUAACGAGGCGAACCGGGGGAACUGAAACAUCUAAGUACCCCGAGGAAAAGAAAUCAACCGAGAUUCCCCCAGUAGCGGCGAGCGAACGGGGAGCAGCCCGGAGUCUGAAUCAGCUUGUGUGUUAGUGGAAGCGUCUGGAAAGUCGCAGGGUACAGGGUGAUACUCCCGUACACUAAAACACACAGGCUGUGAACUCGAAGAGUAGGGCGGGACACGUGGUAUCCUGUCUGAAUAUGGGGGGACCAUCCUCCAAGGCUAAAUACUCCUGACUGACCGAUAGUGAACCAGUACCGUGAGGGAAAGGCGAAAAGAACCCCGGCGAGGGGAGUGAAAAAGAACCUGAAACCGUGUACGUACAAGCAGUAGGAGCCUCUUUAUGGGGUGACUGCGUACCUUUUGUAUAAUGGGUCAGCGACUUAUAUUCUGUAGCAAGGUUAACCGUAUAGGGGAGCCGCAGGGAAACCGAGUCUUAACUGGGCGUUAAGUUGCAGGGUAUAGACCCGAAACCCGGUGAUCUAGCCAUGGGCAGGUUGAAGGUUGGGUAACACUAACUGGAGGACCGAACCGACUAAUGUUGAAAAAUUAGCGGAUGACUUGUGGCUGGGGGUGAAAGGCCAAUCAAACCGGGAGAUAGCUGGUUCUCCCCGAAAGCUAUUUAGGUAGCGCCUCGUGAACUCAUCUUCGGGGGUAGAGCACUGUUUCGGCUAGGGGGUCAUCCCGACUUACCAACCCGAUGCAAACUACGAAUACCGAAGAAUGUUAUCACGGGAGACACACGGCGGGUGCUAACGUCCGUCGUGAAGAGGGAAACAACCCAGACCGCCAGCUAAGGUCCCAAAGUCAUGGUUAAGUGGGAAACGAUGUGGGAAGGCCCAGACAGCCAGGAUGUUGGCUUAGAAGCAGCCAUCAUUUAAAGAAAGCGUAAUAGCUCACUGGUCGAGUCGGCCUGCGCGGAAGAUGUAACGGGGCUAAACCAUGCACCGAAGCUGCGGCAGCGACACUAUGUGUUGUUGGGUAGGGGAGCGUUCUGUAAGCCGUUGAAGGUGGCCUGUGAGGGUUGCUGGAGGUAUCAGAAGUGCGAAUGCUGACAUAAGUAACGAUAAUGCGGGUGAAAAACCCGCACGCCGGAAGACCAAGGGUUCCUGUCCAACGUUAAUCGGGGCAGGGUGAGUCGACCCCUAAGGCGAGGCCGAAAGGCGUAGUCGAUGGGAAACAGGUUAAUAUUCCUGUACUCGGUGUUACUGCGAAGGGGGGACGGAGAAGGCUAUGUUGGCCGGGCGACGGUUGUCCCGGUUUAAGCAUGUAGGCGGAUGUUCCAGGUAAAUCCGGAACGUUAUUAACGCUGAGGUGUGAUGACGAGGCACUACGGUGCUGAAGUGACAAAUGCCCUGCUUCCAGGAAAAGCCUCUAAGCAUCAGGUAACAUCAAAUCGUACCCCAAACCGACACAGGUGGUCAGGUAGAGAAUACCAAGGCGCUUGAGAGAACUCGGGUGAAGGAACUAGGCAAAAUGGUGCCGUAACUUCGGGAGAAGGCACGCUGAUAUGUAGGUGAAGUGGUUUACCCAUGGAGCUGAAAUCAGUCGAAGAUACCAGCUGGCUGCAACUGUUUAUUAAAAACACAGCACUGUGCAAACACGAAAGUGGACGUAUACGGUGUGACGCCUGCCCGGUGCCGGAAGGUUAAUUGAUGGGGUUAUCCGUAAGGAGAAGCUCUUGAUCGAAGCCCCGGUAAACGGCGGCCGUAACUAUAACGGUCCUAAGGUAGCGAAAUUCCUUGUCGGGUAAGUUCCGACCUGCACGAAUGGCGUAAUGAUGGCCAGGCUGUCUCCACCCGAGACUCAGUGAAAUUGAACUCGCUGUGAAGAUGCAGUGUACCCGCGGCAAGACGGAAAGACCCCGUGAACCUUUACUAUAGCUUGACACUGAACACUGGUCCUUGAUGUGUAGGAUAGGUGGGAGGCUUUGAAGUGUGGACGCCAGUCUGCAUGGAGCCAUCCUUGAAAUACCACCCUUUAAUGGCUGGUGUUCUAACGUGGGCCCGUUAUCCGGGUUGCGGACAGUGUCUGGUGGGUAGUUUGACUGGGGCGGUCUCCUCCUAAAGAGUAACGGAGGAGCACGAAGGUCAGCUAAUCCUGGUCGGACAUCAGGAGGUUAGUGCAAUGGCAUAAGCUGGCUUGACUGCGAGCGUGACGGCGCGAGCAGGUGCGAAAGCAGGUCAUAGUGAUCCGGUGGUUCUGAAUGGAAGGGCCAUCGCUCAACGGAUAAAAGGUACUCCGGGGAUAACAGGCUGAUACCGCCCAAGAGUUCAUAUCGACGGCGGUGUUUGGCACCUCGAUGUCGGCUCAUCACAUCCUGGGGCUGAAGUAGGUCCCAAGGGUAUGGCUGUUCGCCAUUUAAAGUGGUACGCGAGCUGGGUUUAGAACGUCGUGAGACAGUUCGGUCCCUAUCUGCCGUGGGCGCUGGAGAAUUGAGGGGGGCUGCUCCUAGUACGAGAGGACCGGAGUGGACGCAUCACUGGUGUUCGGGUUGUCAUGCCAAUGGCAUUGCCCGGUAGCUAAAUGCGGAAGAGAUAAGUGCUGAAAGCAUCUAAGCACGAAACUUGCCCCGAGAUGAGUUCUCCCUGACCCUUUAAGGGUCCUGAAGGAACGUUGAAGACGACGACGUUGAUAGGCCGGGUGUGUAAGCGCAGCGAUGCGUUGAGCUAACCGGUACUAAUGAACCGUGAGGCUUAACCUUAC